rnacentral:rRNA from 1 species
UACAGAGGGGGCAAGCGUUGUUCGGAAUUACUGGGCGUAAAGGGCGCGUAGGCGGCCGCCUAAGUCAGACGUGAAAUCCCUCGGCUCAACCGGGGAACUGCGUCUGAUACUGGGUGGCUUGAAUCCGGGAGAGGGAUGCGGAAUUCCAGGUGUAGCGGUGAAAUGCGUAGAUAUCUGGAGGAACACCGGUGGCGAAGGCGGCAUCCUGGACCGGUACUGACGCUGAGGUGCGAAAGCGUGGGGAGCAAACAGG